GAGGUUUCGAGCACUACAUUGAUGAAUAAACCAAGAUGACCAAAAAGGAUGUUUAGCAUUAGGUAAGUUGCACUACAGCAGGCAAUGCUUCAAUAAUGUUAACAAUUCAAAUAAGAAGAUGACAAUUAUGAUGAUGAAGUAAUGAUCAAAAGAAGAAAUGAAGUGUGAUUGCUUUAAGCACUAUAUAAUCCAGGCAUUAUUUUGAG
rnacentral:misc_RNA from 1 species